rnacentral:rRNA from 1 species
UACGUAGGUGGCAAGCGUUGUUCGGAUUUACUGGGCGUAAAGAGCGCGCAGGCGGUUGGAUAAGUCGAAUGUGAAAGCCCCCGGCUUAACUGGGGAGGGUCAUUCGAUACUGUCCAACUUGAAGGCAGGAGAGGGCAGCAGAAUUCCCGGAGUAGUGGUGAAAUGCGUAGAUAUCGGGAGGAAUACCAGUGGCGAAGGCGGCUGCCUGGCCUGAUCUUGACGCUGAGGCGCGAAAGCUGGGGGAGCAAACGGG